AUGGGCGAAAGCCUGAUGCAGCGACGCCGCGUGAGGGAUGAAGGCCUUCGGGUUGUAAACCUCUUUCAGCAGGGACGAAGCGGAAGUGACGGUACCUGCAGAAGAAGCACCGGCUAACUACGUGCCAGCAGCCGCGGUAAUACGUAGGGUGCAAGCGUUGUCCGGAAUUACUGGGCGUAAAGAGUUCGUAGGCGGUUUGUCGCGUCGUUUGUGAAAACUCACAGCUCAACUGUGAGCUUGCAGGCGAUACGGGCAGACUUGAGUACUGCAGGGGAGACUGGAAUUCCUGGUGUAGCGGUGAAAUGCGCAGAUAUCAGGAGGAACACCGGUGGCGAAGGCGGGUCUCUGGGCAGUAACUGACGCUGAGGAACGAAAGCGUGGGUAGCGAACAGGAUUAGAUACCCUGGUAGUCCACGCCGUAAACGGUGGGCGCUAGGUGUGGGUUCCUUCCACGGAAUCUGUGCCGUAGCUAACGCAUUAAGCGCCCCGCCUGGGGAGUACGGCCG
rnacentral:rRNA from 1 species